GGGCAGUGAUGAAGAUUAUAGUCAUGCACCACUCUGAGAAUUUUCUCAGUGAUGAUACUGUACUAUUACCCAUCUAUCUGAGCCU